rnacentral:lncRNA from 1 species
CCUCAACGUACUAAAAGUUCCUCUAUCUGAACUACUGAGGCAGCUAACACUCUGAAUCCAACCUGGUCUGUGCUGCAGACCCUGCCUCUCGGAACAUGAAAAUAUAAGGAUGAACUGCUCAGAACACGGGUGCUUCCCUACGUCGCUGCUCUGCACGGUGCUGAUGCCUAAUUUCUCCUCGCAACCAUCCCACAAAG